rnacentral:lncRNA from 1 species
GGGUAUUUUUUAAUCCAGAGUUUACAGCAGGGGGAGAGGCACUGUUUGUGAGAGAUUAGAUAUUCAUGCACUGUGCAAGUUGACAAAGAUGUAAGUACAAGUCCAAGUGCAGAAGAGAACCGAGUACAAGCUUCAGGAGACUAACAUCUGGGAGGCAUCUAUUACAGAAUUAGCCCACAAUUAACUUGAUACACAUCAGCCUAUGUGCAGAGACUAAAUGGAGAAGUAGCCAAAAGUCCUUCUGGUACUGGAUCUACAUCAGCCAACAGACAACUGGGGAAAUGUUAAUGGAUCUGUGAAGAACAUAAUUUGGCAACCUCAGAGACUGUAUCUCUAAUUAUAAUUCACACUCAAGUUGACUUUUAUUGGCAAUAUUUUUAAACAAGGAGGGUAAAAAAUUGGAAAGAGGAAAAUCAGGAAGAUUUAUUUGAAAUUGCUUUCUUUUUAAAGUUUCAUGGGAAUGGAACAUUUCAGACAUCUCUGAAGAGUCAAAGCAGCAGUUAAUGUUAAGCAAUCCAAUUCUGUACUUGGACGUGGUCUAAAACAACUGUGGUGGUUUCCAAAUGACGUCUACUCUUAACAGAUCUAUCCAAAAUACUUCAGCUAUUACUCAAUGACUUGGCAUAAUUAAACAAUCUCUGAUGUAAUAAAUUGAAGGACUUGGAGCAGAGAUAAAAGACCACAUGUAAAGCCAUCGUUGCAGUUUAAUCCUCACCUUUGGUAACUUCACAAUGUCAAGUGGUAUAAUAGGGGGCUAUAUUUAUGCGGGGAGAAGCCUCCUGAGGCUGAGUGGGAUGGAAAGAAGAGGAAGCAGCCAGGGUAGCACAUGUCACCAGAAGGAACUGGUUUUUUUGUUUUUUUUUUUUUGAGACGGAGUCUCGCGCUGUGUCACCCAGGCUGGAGUGCAGUGGCGCGAUCUCGGCUCACUGCAAGCUCCGCCUCCCAAGUAGCUGGGACUACAGGCGCCCGCCACCACGCCCGGCUAGUUUUUUGUAUUUUUAGUAGAGACGGGGUUUCACCAUGUUAGCCAGGAUGGUCUCGAUCUCCUGACCUCAUGAUCCACCCGCCUCGGCCUCCCAAAGUGCUGGGAUUACAGG